rnacentral:rRNA from 1 species
UACAGGGGGGGCAAGCGUUGUUCGGAAUUACUGGGCGUAAAGGGUCUGUAGGUGGCUUGCUAAGUCAGACGUGAAAUCCCUCAGCUUAACUGGGGAACUGCGUCUGAUACUGGCGAGCUUGAGUGCAGGAGAGGAACGCGGAAUUCCAGGUGUAGCGGUGAAAUGCGUAGAUAUCUGGAGGAACACCGACGGCGUAGGCAGCGCCCUGGACGACACCUGACGCUGAGGCACGAAAGCUGGGGGAGCAAACAGG